GACGAACGCUGGCGGCGUGCUUAACACAUGCAAGUCGAGCGGAGCGGCGAACGGGUGAGUAACGCGUGAGUAACUGCCCCCCUCUCUGGGAUAACAGUUGGAAACUGCUGCUAAUACCGGAUCGUGGGGGAUGACUCGCGUCCUAUCUGCUUGUUGGUGGGGUAGUGGCCUACAAAGGCGACGACGGGUAGCCGGCCUGAGAGCGCGACCGGCCACAUUGGGAUGAGUUACGGCCCAAACUCCUACGGGAGGCAGCAGUGGGGAAUAUUGCACAAUGGGGGAAAGCCUGAUGCAGCAACGCCGCGUGCGGGAUGACGGCCUUGGGGUUGUAAACCGCUUUCAGCGAUGACGCGGGAGUGGAAGAAGAAGCACCGGCUAACUACGUGCCAGCCGACGCGGUAAUAG
rnacentral:rRNA from 1 species